rnacentral:rRNA from 1 species
AUGAGGAACAAUCGGAUGUUCCAGUCCCUUGGCAUCGGUGCAAUAGCAUCGAUGAUUAGGAAAACAAAUGGUGUACAAGAAGGUAGAAGUGAUGAGAUUCAAGAGGGUAGUGGAGUUAUCAAUGAUGACCCAGAGUACAAUCCUAAGGAGGAUGAGGUUAUUGAUGGAGAGGAAGUGGAUGAUGUUGUACUGAACAAGAUUGUUAAGGUGCAAACUCUGUCUUGCUUGGAGAAGAACAAGAGCUCAGAAACAUCUGCUGCAAUGCCUCCAGGAAGGGUGAUGGCCCCAGCUCGAGGACAAAAAAAGAGGAUCCUGGAACCUGAUGAACCUGCCCUUGAUAGAGUCACAAGGCAGAAAGCAAGGAUGGCGACUGUGACAGACCAUCAGGAAAGUAUGAUGCGCAUGGACUCUCAAACCUCGGUGCAAAUGGGUGAUGAGUUGCCGCCCAUGGAUGAAGAUGCAAUGACUCCCAAGACUAGACUUAGAAAGGGCAAAGGGCUAGAGAGGAUCACCAAGUCGCUUGGUAGCAAGGUGCCUAUCCAAAUUGCCGAAGGGAUGAUGCGUCUAGAGAAGCCUCUGCAGGCAGCAAAGCUUGCUUCUGAGUGUGGACUCGUUGCAAAAAGCCAUCUUCCGGUUCUUCCUCACUUCAAGCUAUACAAAAAAAUGCUAGUCUAUUGGAGAACUACAUUGGGAAAGUUGUUGCAAAUUUUGAGAUGA